UACAGAGGUCUCAAGCGUUGUUCGGAUUCAUUGGGCGUAAAGGGUGCGUAGGCGGCGCGGUAAGUCGGAUGUGAAAUCUCGGAGCUUAACUUCGAAACUGCAUUCGAUACUGCCGUGCUUGAGGACUGGAGAGGAGACUGGAAUUUACGGUGUAGCGGUGAAAUGCGUAGAUAUCGUAAGGAAGACCAGUGGCGAAGGCGGGUCUCUGGACAGUUCCUGACGCUGAGGCGCGAAGGUCAGGGGAGCAAACGGG
rnacentral:rRNA from 1 species